GGCUGGGAGAGGCUGGUGUCAUGUGGGUUGUGUCUGGCUGGGAGAGGCUGGUGUCCUGUGGGGUGUGUCUGGCGUCCUGUAGGUUGUGUCUGGCUGGGAUAGGCUGGUGUCCUGUGGGUUGUGUCUGGCGUCCUGUAGGUUGUGUCUGGCUGGGAGAGGCUGAUGUCCUGUGGGUUGUGUCUGGCUGGGAGAGGCUGGUGUCAUGUGGGUUGUGUCUGGCUGGGAGAUGUGGGUGACCUGUAGGGUGUGUCUGGUGUCCUGUAGGUUGUGUCUGGCUGGGAUAGGCUGGUGCCCUGUGGGGUGUGUCUGGCGUCCUGUAGGUUGUGUCUGGCUGGGAGAGGCUGGUGUCCUGUGGGUUGUGUCUGGAUGGGAGAGGCUGGUGUCCUGUGGGUUGUGUCUGGCUGGGAGAGGCUGGUGUCCUGUGGGUUGUGUCUGGCUGGGAUAGGCUGGUGUCCUGUGGGUUGUGUCUGGUGUCCUGUAG
ensembl:lncRNA